rnacentral:rRNA from 1 species
GACGAACGCUGGCGGCGCGCCUAACACAUGCAAGUCGAACGGUGAAGAGGAGCUUGCUCCUCGGAACAGUGGCGGACGGGUGAGUAACACGUGAGCAACCUGGCUCUAAGAGGGGGACAACAGUUGGAACGACUGCUAAUACCGCAUAACGUAUCGGGAUGGCAUCUUCCUGAUACCAAAGAUUUUAUCGCUUAGAGAUGGGCUCGCGUCUGAUUAGAUAGUUGGCGGGGUAACGGCCCACCAAGUCGACGAUCAGUAGCCGGACUGAGAGGUUGAACGGCCACAUUGGGACUGAGACACGGCCCAGACUCCUACGGGAGGCAGCAGUGGGGAAUAUUGCACAAUGGGGGAAACCCUGAUGCAGCGACGCCGCGUGGAGGAAGAAGGUCUUCGGAUUGUAAAACUCCUGUUGUUGAGGAAGAUAAUGACGGUACUCAACAAGGAAGUGACGGCUAAACUACGUGCCAGCAG